rnacentral:snRNA from 1 species
GGAUGUGAGGGCUAUCCGGCUGCAACAUCUGUCGCCCAUUGAUUGCCAGGGCUGAUGUGGCUGAGCUGACUGACCAGCCAGGUGUCCCCUUACUCCCUCACUGCCCCAUGUGCACCCUCCUGUGGUGAACUGAUAACUGGUGGUCAAUUUGUAACAACAAUUGAACUCAAUCGGUGCGGAGCUGAGGCCCA